AGCUUUGCGCAGUGGCAGUAUCGUAGCCAACGAGGUUUAUCCGAGGCGCGAUUAUUGCUAAUAGUCCUACCAGACUAUUAGGAAUAGUCUGUAGUUUGUAGUCCAAACUA
rnacentral:snRNA from 1 species